rnacentral:lncRNA from 1 species
UUUUUUUUUUUUUUGUCUUUUUGCCUUUUCUGGGGCUGCUCCCAUGGCAUAUGGAGGUUCCCAGGCUAGGGGUCAAAUUGGAGCUACAGCCACAAGCCUAUGCCACAGCCAUAGCAGCGUGGGAUCCAAGUUGCAUCUGUGACUACAGCUCAGGGCAAUGCUGGAUCCUUAACCCACUGAGGGAGACCAGGGAUCAAACCCGCAACCUCAUGGUUCCUAGUUGGAUUUGUUUCCACUGCACCACUGUGGGAACUCCUUUUUUUUUUGCUUUUUAGGGCCAUACCCAGGGCAUAUGGAAGUUCCCAGACUAGGAGUCAAAUCAUAGCUGCAGCUGCAGGCCCACACAACAGCUAUAGCAAUGCAGCAUCGGAGCUGUGUGUCUGCCACCUACACCACAACUCACAGCAACGAUGGGUUCUUAACCCACUGACAGAGGCCAAGGAUGCAACCUGCAUCCUCACGGUUGCUAGUCCAGUUCAUAACUCAUUGAGCCACAGUGGGAACUCCUCUCCGGGUCAUUUUUUUAAGGGCACAACUCCAUUCACGAGGGCUCCACCCUUAUGAUGUCAUCCAAAGGCCCCAACCUUCUAAUACUUAGGGGGUUAGGAUCUCAACGUAUGAAUUGAGGGCUGGGGCAGGUGGUGGAGACAUAAACAUUUAGUCUAAUGGCCUGAAAAAAACUGAACUUUCUCACUCGCCUAAAAUCUGCUGCAGCACCAGCACUUCUGCAAUUAGUUCUUCCCCUGCAAUGACUUGGGAAUGUGGUUCUUUCCAGCUUGUGGCUCUGUUAUCUUAAUACUAAGUGCACCACACAAGCCAGAAAGAGCUGGAGGGUCAUGCAGUAGCCCUUGAAAGGUUGGUUUAGCCUGAAGGUGAGUCCUUCCAGCCCAUUGCCCAGAGCUAUUCAAAUGUCCAUGUGUAACUCUAAGGGAGCUAGGAACUAAGGAGUAACACAGGGCAUUCUAUGAGCAGGAAAUGUCUUUGCCCUCAUCUCAUUAAUGUAUCAAAUGCUGCGAUCUUGUCUCUUCCUUCCCCAGUCUAGUCACAGGCCAUCCACUUGUACCUUGGACUUGAACCUUCUGCCUUUAAAUCCACACAUUAUAGUUUAAUCCAAUUCUUGUCCUUUGGAGUGUUUUAUCUCCUGUCAGAUGACCCUGACUUUGCUCUUUUACAGGCAUGCCUCACAGCUGCAGAGUUUUCUCCCUCAUCCCCACUUUUGCAUUUAGUCAUCUUCCAGGAUCUACCCAGCUGAGAAUUGUCUGGAAAGACCCCCUAAGUUUUCUGCAAUUAAAAUUGAAGCUAUUGGGAGUUUCUGUCUUGGCUCAGUGGAAACGAAUCCAACUAGUAUGCAUGAGGAUGCGGGUUCAAUCCCUGGCUUCGCUCAUGGGCUGGGGAUUUGGCAUUGCUGUGAGCUGUGGUGUAGGUCACGGAUGGAGCUUGGAUCCUGCACGGCAGUGGUGGAGGCUGGCAGCUAUAGCUCAGAUUUUGACCUCUAGCCUGGGAACUUGCACAUCAUGCUGUGAGUUCAGCCCUAAAAAGCAAAAAAAAAAAAAAAAAAAAAAAAA